AACGAACGCUGGCGGCAGGCUUAACACAUGCAAGUCGAACGCCCCGCAAGGGGAGUGGCAGACGGGUGAGUAACGCGUGGGAAUCUACCCAGUUCUACGGAACAACUGAGGGAAACUUCAGCUAAUACCGUAUACGCCCUACGGGGGAAAGAUUUAUCGGAAUUGGAUGAGCCCGCGUUGGAUUAGCUAGUUGGUGAGGUAACGGCUCACCAAGGCGACGAUCCAUAGCUGGUCUGAGAGGAUGAUCAGCCACACUGGGACUGAAACACGGCCCAGACUCCUACGGGAGGCAGCAGUGGGGAAUAUUGGACAAUGGGCGCAAGCCUGAUCCAGCCAUGCCGCGUGAGUGAUGAAGGCCUUAGGGUUGUAAAGCUCUUUCAGUGGGGACGAUAAUGACGGUACCCACAGAAGAAGCCCCGGCUAACUUCGUGCCAGCAGCCGCCGCAGUAA
rnacentral:rRNA from 1 species